CACGUAGGGUGCGAGCGUUGUCCGGAAUUAUUGGGCGUAAAGAGCUCGUAGGCGGUUCGUCGCGUCGGCUGUGAAAUCCCGAGGCUCAACCUCGGGUCUGCAGUCGAUACGGGCGGACUGGAGUACUGCAGGGGAGACUGGAAUUCCUGGUGGUAGCGGUGAAAUGCGCAGAGUAUCAGGAGGAACACCGGUGGCGAAGGCGGUUCUCUGGGCCUGACCUGACGCUGAGGAGCGAAAGCGUGGGGAGCGAACAGG
rnacentral:rRNA from 1 species